rnacentral:rRNA from 1 species
AUCUGCAGUCGAGCGAAUCAAUAGGAGCUUGCUCCUGUUGGUUAGCGGCGGACGGGUGAGUAACACGUGGGCAACCUGCCUGUAAGACUGGGAUAACACCGGGAAACCGGUGCUAAUACCGGAUAAUCCUUUCCCUCUCAUGAGGGGAAGUUGAAAGUCGGUUUCGGCUGACACUUACAGAUGGGCCCGCGGCGCAUUAGCUAGUUGGUGAGGUAGCGGCUCACCAAGGCGACGAUGCGUAGCCGACCUGAGAGGGUGAUCGGCCACACUGGGACUGAGACACGGCCCAGACUCCUACGGGAGGCAGCAGUAGGGAAUCUUCCACAAUGGACGAAAGUCUGAUGGAGCAACGCCGCGUGAGCGAUGAAGGCCUUCGGGUCGUAAAGCUCUGUUGUUAGGGAAGAACAAGUACCGGAGUAACUGCCGGUACCUUGACGGUACCUAACCAGAAAGCCACGGCUAACUACGUGCCAGCAGCCGCGGUAAUACGUAGGUGGCAAGCGUUGUCCGGAAUUAUUGGGCGUAAAGCGCGCGCAGGCGGUCCUUUAAGUCUGAUGUGAAAGCCCACGGCUCAACCGUGGAGGGUCAUUGGAAACUGGGGGACUUGAGUGCAGAAGAGGAAAGCGGAAUUCCACGUGUAGCGGUGAAAUGCGUAGAGAUGUGGAGGAACACCAGUGGCGAAGGCGGCUUUCUGGUCUGUAACUGACGCUGAGGCGCGAAAGCGUGGGGAGCAAACAGGAUUAGAUACCCUGGUAGUCCACGCCGUAAACGAUGAGUGCUAAGAGUUAGAGGGUUUCCGCCCUUUAGUGCUGCAGCUAACGCAUUAAGCACUCCGCCUGGGGAGUACGGC